CUACACACGUGCUACAAUGGCUGGAAAAGAGGGUAUGCGUGUCCGUGACGGUGACUAAUCUCUUCUAGCAGUCAUCAGUUCGGAUUGUAGGCUGCAACUCGCCUACUUGAAGUCGGAAUCGCUAGUAAUCGCGAAUCAGCUCGGCCGCGGUGAAUACGUUCCCGGGCUUUGUACACCCCGCCCGUCACACCACGAGAGUUUGUAACACCCGAAGUCGGUGAGGUAACCUUUGGGAGGCCGCCGCCUAAGGUGGGGUUAGAUAAUUGGGGUGAAGUCCGAAC
rnacentral:rRNA from 1 species